rnacentral:rRNA from 1 species
CCAAUAGCGUAUAUUAAAGUUGUUGCAGUUAAAAAGCUCGUAGUUGAACUUCAGGCCUGGCUGGACGGUCCGCCUUCCGGGCGAGUACUGUCUGUGGUCGGGUCCUACCUUCUGGCGAAGCGUCAUGGCCUUAACCGGCCGUGGCGGGGAACCAGGACUUUUACUGUGAAAAAAUUAGAGUGUUCAAAGCAGGCAAUUCGCUUGGAUACAUUAGCAUGGAAUAAUGGAAUAGGACAAUGGUUCUAUUUGUUGGUUUCUAGGACUGUUGUAAUGAUUAAUAGGGAUAGUUGGGGGCAUUAGUAUUCAAUUGUCAGAGGUGAAAUUCUUGGAUUUAUUGAAGACUAACUACUGCGAAAGCAUUUGCCAAGGAUGUUUUCAUUAAUCAAGAACGAAAGUUAGGGGAUCGAAGACGAUCAGAUACCGUCGUAGUCUUAACCAUAAACUAUGCCGACUAGGAAUCGGGCGAUGUUGACAAAAUGACGCGCUCAGCGCCUCAUG